rnacentral:snRNA from 1 species
AUGCUCACUUCAGCAACACAUAUGCUAAAAUUGGAAAGAUACUGAGAAAGAUAGUAUGGCCCCUGCACAGGGAUGACACACAUUUCAUGAAGCCUCACACACACAC